rnacentral:rRNA from 1 species
AGAGUUUGAUCAUGGCUCAGAUUAAACGCUGGCGGCAUGCCUUACACAUGCAAGUCGAACGGCAGCACGGGGGCAACCCUGGUGGCGAGUGGCGGACGGGUGAGUAAAGCAUCGGAACGUAUCCUGGAGUGGGGGGAUAACGUAGCGAAAGUUACGCUAAUACCGCAUAUUCUGUGAGCAGGAAAGCAGGGGAUCGCAAGACCUUGCGCUCUGGGAGCGGCCGAUGUCGGAUUAGCUAGUUGGUGGGGUAAAGGCCUACCAAGGCGACGAUCCGUAGCGGGUCUGAGAGGAUGAUCCGCCACACUGGGACUGAGACACGGCUCAAGACUCCUACGGGAGGCAGCAGUGGGGAAUUUUGGACAAUGGGCGCAAGCCUGAUCCAGCCAUGCCGCGUGAGUGAAGAAGGCCUUCGGGUUGUAAAGCUCUUUCGGCGGGGAAGAAAUUGCACGGGUUAAUACCCUGUGUAGAUGACGGUACCCGAAUAAGAAGCACCGGCUAACUACGUG